ACAUUAUCAAGAAGACUGGAACUAUCGUAGUUGGCACAAAUAAAAAGAAGUGGAAUUUUUAAGGAAAUUGAGGUCAAGUAUCGACUUCAACA